UACGUAGGGGGCAAGCGUUGUCCGGAAUCAUUGGGCGUAAAGAGCGUGUAGGCGGCCAGAAAAGUCCGCUGUGAAAACUCGAGGCUCAACUUCGAGCUGUCGGUGGAAACUUUCUGGCUAGAGUCCGGAAGAGGAGAAUGGAAUUCCUGGUGUAGCGGUGAAAUGCGCAGAUAUCGAGAGGAACACCAGUGGCGAAGGCGAGUCCCUGGACAACACCUGACACUGAGGCACGAAAGCUAGGGGAGCAAACAGG
rnacentral:rRNA from 1 species